GACUCGGUAGCUUAGUUCGUAAAGCGCUCGUCUAGCAUACAAGAGUCCUGGGUUCGAAUCCCAGAUGAGCA
rnacentral:tRNA from 1 species